rnacentral:rRNA from 1 species
UACGUAGGUGGCAAGCGUUGUCCGGAAUUAUUGGGCGUAAAGCGCGCGCAGGCGGUUCCUUAAGUCUGAUGUGAAAGCCCCCGGCUCAACCGGGGAGGGUCAUUGGAAACUGGGGAACUUGAGUACUGAAGAGGAAAGCGGAAUUCCACGUGUAGCGGUGAAGUGCGUAGAGAUGUGGAGGAACACCAGUGGCGAAGGCGGCUUUCUGGUCAGUAACUGACGCUGAGGCGCGAAAGCGUGGGGAGCAAACAGG